rnacentral:rRNA from 1 species
AAUAUUGCGCAAUGGAGGAAACUCUGACGCAGCGACGCCGCGUGAGCGAUGAAGGUCUUCGGAUCGUAAAGCCCGGUCCUUGGGGCAGAAGGUCUUCGGCCUUGACGGCCCCCAUGGUGGAAGCCCCGGCUAAUUACGUGCCAGCAGCCGCGGGAAUACGUAGGGGGCAAGCGUUGUCCGGAAUUAUUGGGCGUACAGGGUCCGUAGGCGGCCUUUUAAGUCAGAUGUGAAAGCCCACGGCUCAACCGUGGGAUUGCAUUUGAAACUGGAGGGCUUGAGUAUCGGAGAGGGUAGUGGAAUUCCCAGUGUAGCGGUGAAAUGCGUAGAUAUUGGGAGGAACACCAGUGGCGAAGGCGACUACCUGGACGAUUACUGACGCUGAUGCACGAAAGCUAGGGGAGCAAACA